AUGAAUCAUUUGGGCCACAUAGUUGUGCCUCUGUUUGUAGUCUGUCUGUGCGAUUUUCUUACAGCAGCUGAGGAUAUGAUCAAUGGUUUCGUCGGUUUCCUUGCACAGUCUGCAUUUUGGGUCAUCAGCUGCUGUAAGAAAAUCGCACAGACAGACUACAAACAGAGGCACAACUAUGUGGCCCAAAUGAUCCAUUGGAACUUAUGCCUCAAGUACCACCUCCCAGCAAUAAAGAACUGGUGGGAUCACAAACCUGCAAAAGUAUUGGAAAAUGAGCACGCAAAGAUACUGUGGGACUUCCGAAUCCAGACUGACAAAGUUCUGGAACACAACACACCAGACAUCACAGUUGUGGAAAAGAAAAAGGUUUGGAUCAUUGAUGUCGCCAUCCCAGGUGACAGUCGCAUUGAUGAAAAACAACAAGAAAAACUCAGCUACUAUCAGGACCUCAAGAUUGAACUUCAAAGACUCUGGCAGAAACCAGUGCAGAUCGUAAUUUUGUCAAUGUCUAUUGUUUCCAAAUGCCGGCUGAGAUCUUUUGGCACGGCACCCAAUGUGCCAAUCACCACCGGGACCACCUGUACUGGUUUCUGCCAGAGUCUUUGCAAUUCAAUCUUGAGGUCCUGAUAGCAGCUGAGUUUUUCCUGUUGUUUUCCAUCAAUCCGACUGUCACCUGGGAUGGCGACAUCAAUAAUCCAAACCUUUUUCUUUUCUACAACUGUGAUGUCUGGUGUGUUGUGUUCCAGAACUUUGUCAGUCUGGAUUCGGAAGUCCCACAGUAUCUUUGCAUGUUCAUUUUCCAAUACUUUUGCAGGUUUGAGAUCCCACCAGUUCUUUACUGCUGGGAGGUGGUACUUGAGGCAUUAUUAUUAUUAUUAUUAUUAUUAUUACUAUUCAUAGAGGUGCAGGAACCCCAGUGGUGCAGAGGAUUAAAUCGAUGAGCUGCUGAACUUGCUGACCGAAUGGUCAAUGGUUUGAUUCCAGGGAGUGGAGUGAGCUCCCGCUGUUAGCCCCAGCUUCUGCCAACCUAGCAAUUUGAAAACAUGCAAAUGUGAGUAGAUCAAUAGGUAUCACUCUGGCAGGAAGGUAAUGGUGCUCCAUGCACUCAUGCCAUCCACAGGACCUUGAAAGUGUCUACAGACAAUGCUGGCUCUUUGGCUUAGAAAUCAAGAUGAACACCAACCCCCAGAGCCGGACAUGACUAGACUUAACAUCAGGGGAAAACCUUUACCUUUACAAUAGAGGUGCAAUCAAGACACUAUAUAAUGGAAGUUCAGGUUAUACUGAAUAUAGUCUUUGACUAAGGCAGAGUAAAUCAUGUUAUCCCUUUCUGUUAUGUAUAGUUUAUAGUGUUGUUUUUAUAGUUGUAUUAUGUCUAUGUUUGUAUUAGUGUACUUUAUACACUCAUGUAUAAAUCAGUCAAAAAGCAACCUACAAAACCCUGGGUUGACUUAUCCAUGGGUUAAUGUCAGAGUCGAGUGGUGAAAGGUGAGCGCUCAGUCCACCUUAGAAGAAUUUAAAGAAGCACUGAGCCCCUCUACUCUCUCCACCGUGGCACCACUUCUGUUCUUUUUGAGUGUCUGGCUGGGAAAAUGGUGAUGGCAUCUAGAAGUCCCCUGAGGCUGAUGUUUUUCCCUCAGUGGAAUGACCCUCAAUUUAACCAUGGGUCAUAUCAAAUCCACAAUUUUUGCCCUGAAGCAUCCUUCAACUUGUACAUGGAGUCAAUUUAUACACAACUAUAUGCAGUAUAAAAAGUGUGUUAACAAAAAUAAUAAAUAAAAAGCAUUUGCCAUCUUAAUU
rnacentral:lncRNA from 1 species